rnacentral:tRNA from 3 species
GGGCCUCUAGCUCAAUUGGCAGAGCAGCGGACUUUUAAUCCGCGGGUUGUGGGUUCGAGUCCCACGGGGCCCACCG